ensembl:lncRNA
CUCCAGUGCCUUCUCUCAAACAAAGGAAUGGUCUUACUGUAUACAAGUACGCUUAGAACAGGUGUAAACAUAUGGCCGUGUGGGUCACGCUCUGUUUAUAUCUAAGCCAGGUCAUAGCCCUACAGUUGAUCUUUUCACAACUAAAUUAUCAAGUGUCUCCACUUGUGUGUGUCUUCAUUUCAUAGAUGUGGUUAUGAUUGUGUGACUGCAAGACAUGAUCCGCAAACCCAAAACUUCAUGACUUAACACGGAUUCAGAGACCUCUAGAGGUAAAAGAAAUCCGGGCUCUCAUUUAUCUUCUUUUUAACAUGUGAAGGAGUGAAGGAAUGGAAAUAAUAUGCAGCACUCCACUUUGGUUUGCUAGGUCAUGUGCAUCUAUGAGUCCACCUAAUCUUUAAAACUCAUACAGCAUGCCGAUGGUAUUGGGAGAAGUCAGGUAACUUGACUAAGGUCACACAGCUUAGCCAUGGUGGAGUCAAGAUUCGAGCCCUGAGCUUCCCUGUUAUCCUUCAUGCUAUUGAAUGCAUCCAACCCAGAGAUGUUAAUAGAUCACAAAAAUGGCAAAGGAAAACAUAAUUCAAUGAUAAGGGUGGUUUUAUAAAGCUCUGUCCAUAAGCAUAAUGGGGUGAUUGGCUGGCCUGUUGGCUCUUGAUUAAUCAUCUGUCUUUCCCAAUCACUGUGUCUCAAGUUUUCUUUCUCCUACCGGCCUGAAACCACUUUCUCCUAGACCACAAUGCGUUCCAUAACUGCCCAGACCAUACCCUUCCAUCUAUACCUCCUGUCUCUCUCUGCUUUCCCCACACUGGAGGGGUUCCUUACUUUCCUGUUGGAGUCAAUUCCCUGUCCGUUGGUUGUGAACCGGGACCCAGUGGUUCCUGGCCUGUAGAUUCCUGCUUCCGCAUGAUGUCUUACAAUCAGAGCUCGGUUUUCUCACGUUUCCAUGAUCCCACUCUCUUCUCCUUCCUGUGUUCUGGUGGUUCUCCUCCAUAUGGACUCCUUAGAGCAGGAGUCAUGUCUAAUUUGCCAGUGUUUCCCAUUACAGAGUCAGGGUUCAGUAAGGAAGUUCUGGACAGGGCCAGGUCUUUGAAAGCUUGCGUUUUCUUCUCUAGCAUCUCAUCCAACACACAGCAAUGGAUUCCCAUAAAGAAACAGUUUGACCUUGGUUCCUGUUUGCCCUUGGUUCCUGUUUGCCCUCUAGGCUUCUGGAUUUGCAAGAGGAAAGUAGUUGUGUCUGAGAAGAUCUCAUUGUGGCAGUUUCCUGUAACGGGAAGAACCACUGUAUCUCUGGGGUGUCCUUUCAAGCCAGCGGGCUAGUGCCCUCAGCUAUAAAACAGAUUUCCACAUGUCUACUUUGAAAGGUCGCUGUGGGGGUUGGAAGGGCAUCUGGAUGAGAAAGGGGUAACCAGAGAGGAAUAAUGCCUGAGCAGAGUAAGCACUGAGGGGAUGGCUCAGAAAUAUUUUACAGCAAAUGUUAGCUCUGAGGAAUUUUCCUUAUAAAAAAUAACUCCACACCUUUUUACAUUCGUACUUGAUGGUGUGAGGGAGAUCACCCUGUUUGAAACUUGAAGACUCAAACUUCGAGAAGUUAGAACAUUCUGUUAAUUCCAAGAGCCUCCAAACUGGAGUUUUCCAGCUCAGUUCUAUGAAUAACUGGAUGAUCUAAUUUUCCUUCUCAGGGUAUAAUGUAAGCCAUGGUUAAGUUGAGAGGAGGGGCUGAAGCCUGACAGCCAACUAAGAACAAUAUUACAUCAAAUUUAAGGUGUUCAGAAGUGUUAAUUCUGUAAAUGUCACUCAGAAUCUUUUUAUUGCAUCAAACAAAAAAGACUUUUAGCACUUGGGCUAAAUGUCCUUUAGUCCAAGGUUAAGCUUACUGCAUACGGCAAAAUAUCCUGCUCCAUUCUUCUUGCUCCAAGGAAGUUUCAUAAUAAUCCAAAUACUGAAUUUAAUAAUGAUCCUGAUAACCUAUGCACACAUUACUAUCUUUUUGCUUGUUUGAAACUGUUUUUUUUUUUAAAGGAAGCAUCCCAUUCUGUCCCACGAACUGUCUUGCUCCUAUGUAACAAAAUCAAAGUCUGAUUUUCCCUUCAUUCCUAAUAUUCCCAGAGCUUACACUUGACUGCAUUUCUUUUUAAACAGUGUUUUUUUAGUCUCUGCUGAGUUCUAUGCUAGCUACAGGUGGCUACAGAAAUUCAUCAGACAAGACCCUGCCAUACAAAAGUUUAUAAUCUGAGGGGAGGAGAGGAGACCCACAUACACAGAAGAAUGUCCACUUAGAGUAAUGAAAAAGAGCAGAUGAGAAACACCAAGAGCAUUACCACCUCAGCAUCUCUUAGAACAAGUCAAACUGCUUCUACCAGGAUGCCAGCAUCCUGCCAGGGUCUGGAAGGAGGAAAAUAGCCCAGAGGAGUUGCCGUAGUGGUAUAAGCCGUGCCUCUCAUGCAGAACCUCCAAGCUUCCUUGCUGACACUGACACCAUCCCCAGGUCAGUGUCAAGGCAGGAAAUUUGUCAAAGGAGAUGUUCAGUGGUGCUGGUUUCAGCUCAGUCUGCCUAGAAGCACCACCUCCUGAAUGGCAUCUUAUCAGUCUGUAGUACAAAGUCUCUGGAUGCUCUGUGGCUAAACUGUUUAUUCUACUUUUUUUUUCAAGUUAAUAGGCGAAAGUGUGAAAAGUGAAAGUGUCUUGUCUGACUGUGAUGCCAUGGAGUGCAGCCUGCUGGGCUCCUCUGUCAUGGGAUUCUCCAGGCAGGAAUACGGGAGUGGGUUGCCAUUCCCUUUGCCAGGGGUUCAUCCCAAUCCAGGGAUCAAACCUGGGUAUCCUGCCUUGCAGGCAGAUUCUUUAACAUCUGAGCCACCAGGGAAGCCCCUUAAUAGGUGAAACAGAUUAUCAAAUAAAUAAAUGGUCUACUGAUUGUGUCCAUAAACAUUAUCACACUCUAGCUUAACCAGGAGAACCAGCCUGUGGCUUUUUGUUUAUCCAUCAUACAACGCAGGGCUCUGGAAUUCAUUUUGUUUUAUUAUGUUUUAAUUUAGUUUUCAAAUGUGACCUCCUAUGCUGUAGAAGGUAAAUAGAGGCAGGGUCUUCAGCACGGUCCCUUUCUCUGAAAAUAGAACCUGAAUGUAUAGCUUGAUGCCACUGUGAAUUCCUAAUGCAUAUUUAUUCUGGUGAGAAUGUAUACAAUAAUCAUAAUCUCCCAAACAUCCUUGGAAAUUGUAAAAUUACGGUGAUGGGAAUAACAAAGUCAUCAGAACCAAUAUAAUUCUACUAUUUUUCUACAUUUGCUUUUUGGUCAGCAUUUUGUGUAGCUCGUG